rnacentral:rRNA from 1 species
GAUGAACGCUGGCGGCGUGCUUAACACAUGCAAGUCGAACGAUGAAGCCCAGCUUGCUGGGUGGAUUAGUGGCGAACGGGUGAGUAACACGUGAGUAACCUGCCCUUAACUCUGGGAUAAGCCUGGGAAACUGGGUCUAAUACCGGAUAGGAGCGUCCACCGCAUGGUGGGUGUUGGAAAGAUUUAUCGGUUUUGGAUGGACUCGCGGCCUAUCAGCUUGCUGGUGAGGUAAUGGCUCACCAAGGCGACGACGGGUAGCCGGCCUGAGAGGGUGACCGGCCACACUGGGACUGAGACACGGCCCAGACUCCUACGGGAGGCAGCAGUGGGGAAUAUUGCACAAUGGGCGCAAGCCUGAUGCAGCGACGCCGCGUGAGGGAUGACGGCCUUCGGGUUGUAAACCUCUUUCAGUAGGGAAGAAGCGAAAGUGACGGUACCUGCAGAAGAAGCACCGGCUAACUACGUU